UCCUCUCCUUUCAAUUCCCACCCAUUCAUUACUGACAGAGCAAUAAUGAUUCUAUGGCUGAACUUGGUGUCCUUACUUUUAUCCCUUAAAGGUGUCAGAUCUGAUGUCCAGUUGGUGGAGUCUGGAGGGGAUGUGAGAAGACCUGAGGAGUCCCUCCGUCUCUCCUGCCAAGCCUCUGGAUUCACCUUCAGCAGCUCUUACAUGCACUGGGUGAGACAGGCUCCUGGAAAUGGACUGGAAUGGGUGGCAUACAUAAGCUCCGCUUCCAGUACUAUUUACUACUCAGACAAAGUCAAGGGCCGCUUCACCAUCUCCAGGGACAAUGCCAAAAGCCAGCUGUAUCUGCAAAUGAACAGCCUCAAAGCUGAAGACACGGCAGUCUAUUACUGUGCGAGAGAAACACACAGCUAUGAGAUGAGCUGGGUGAGGCAGGCUCCAGGGAAAGGCCUGGAAUGGGUGGCCUACAUUUAUUCCAAUGCUUACUACUCAGAAAACGUGAAGGGACGCUUCACCAUCUCCAGGGAUGAUGCCAAAAGCCAGCUGUAUCUCCAAAUGAACAAUCUCAAACCAGAAGACACAGCUGUCUAUUACUGUGCAGGAGACACAGAAAAUUGUGUAAAAAUCAACUGUGCAGGCCUGUGCAAGGACGACUAUGAAAAUCCUGCUCUGAGGAACUCUUUUAACUCCAGCAAUAUGUAA